rnacentral:misc_RNA from 1 species
GCAAAUCUUCUGCUGGUUGCCUUCUAGUGGUCAAUUCGUGGAUUAUUUACUCUUUGUUUUAUUUAUUUAUUAUUUUAUUAUUAUACUUCGCCUAAUGAAUUCCAACAAUGGUACUAUUGGUUGAAGUAAUUUUCAAAUUAUAAUGUACAUUAUCUGUAUCCAUACUGUUAUUCAUGUCAGUUUAAGUAAUUCAUCCUUCAUUGUGUAACAUUUAUAAGCUUAUAGUGAUGGAAAUUGCUUAAGGGAAAAAGUAUCACAUCAACUGAGUAUGAGAAAAUUAAAGGGCAUAAAAGUUCAAGGCAAACCAGACCAAAAUGUCCUAAGCCAUUUUGGUGAUGGGGA